rnacentral:rRNA from 1 species
CGUGUAGGCGGUCCGGUAAGUCGGUUGUGAAAGUCCAGGGCUCAACCCUGGGAUGCCGAUCGAUACUGCCGGACUAGAGUCCGGAAGAGGCGAGUGGAAUUCCCGGUGUAGCGGUGAAAUGCGCAGAUAUCGGGAGGAACACCAAUGGCGAAGGCAGCUCGCUGGGACGGUACUGACGCUGAGACGCGAAAGCGUGGGAGCAAACA